GCGCGAAAACUCCGCAAUGCGGGAAACCGUGACGGGGCCACCCCGAGUGCCGCCCGAAGAGGGCGGCUUUUGCCCGGUGUAAAAAGCCGGGCGAAUAAGCGGGGGGCAAGUCUGGUGUCAGCCGCCGCGGUAAUACCAGCCCCGCGAGUGGUCGGGGUGCUUACUGGGCCUAAAGCGCCCGUAGCCGGCCCGGUAAGUCGCCCCUGAAAUCCACGGGCUCAACCCGUGGGCUGGGGGCGAACCUGCCGG
rnacentral:rRNA from 1 species